rnacentral:misc_RNA from 1 species
UUAGUUCACCGGUACGGCGGCCUUUUAGCUACUUGUGUUCGAUCUGAUCAGUCGACACAUUUCUGUUAGAUGGACGCGUUGACGUGUGAGUGGCUAUCUUAAUGUUUGUAAUGGCUGGCUCGCUGCUCGCGCAGUGAACGGGAGGUGCAUGCAUAUUUCAAUCGAGUCUGAGACUUGCUAGUCGGAUUUUUGUGUUGCCGACCGAACUUAUGGAAUUGUUAAGGCCCAGUCGUGUAAAUUUGCCGAACACCCUUUGAGGUGCUAAUCGGACAAUUAAGCUGCCCUUUUUCUCGCCAUGCUCUCCCUCUUGGGGGAACCAUGGAGAAGUGUGCUGAUAGUUGUUGCCUUGGAUGCAGAGCACGAAGCGAGCAUGAUGCCCGUCAUCAUUUGCUCAAUAAGAGCUCUCGAUUGCUCGGAAAGAGAGACCGUCGCGCUUUAUUUCGGCUAUCGACUAGUCGGUCCAGCUCGAAACAAUGCCGACGUCCUCAAUGAAUGCUACCUGGUUGAUCCUGCCAGUAGUCAUAUGCUUGUCUCAAAGAUUAAGCCAUGCAGGUGGUAAGUAA